rnacentral:rRNA from 1 species
GGUGAAUUUUCCGCAAUGGGCGAAAGCCUGACGGAGCAACGCCGCGUGAGGGAGGAAGGCCUGUGGGUUGUAAACCUCUUUUCUCAGGGAAGAAGUUCUGACGGUACCUGAGGAAUCAGCAUCGGCUAACUCCGUGCCAGCAGCCGCGGUAAGACGGAGGAUGCAAGCGUUAUCCGGAAUUAUUGGGCGUAAAGCGUCCGUAGGCGGUUCAGAAAGUCUGCUGUUAAAGCUCACAGCUCAACUAUGAAUCGGCAGUGGAAACUUCUGGACUAGAGAGUGGUAGGGGUAGAGGGAAUUCCUAGUGUAGCGGUGAAAUGCGUAGAUAUUAGGAAGAACACCAGUGGCGAAGGCGCUCUACUGGGCCAUUACUGACGCUGAUGGACGAAAGCUAGGGGAGCGAAAGGGAUUAGAUACCCCUGUAGUCCUAGCUGUAAACGAUGGACACUAGGUGUUGGCCGUAUCGACCCGGUCAGUAUCGAAGCAAACGCGUUAAGUGUCCC